UACACUCCUGCGGGAGGCAGCAGUGGGGAAUCUUGCGCAAUGGGCGAAAGCCUGACGCAGCCAUGCCGCGUGAAUGAUGAAGGUCUUAGGAUUGUAAAAUUCUUUCACCGGGGACGAUAAUGACGGUACCCGGAGAAGAAGCCCCGGCUAACUUCGUGCCAGCAGCCGCGGUAAUACGAAGGGGGCUAGCGUUGCUCGGAAUUACUGGGCGUAAAGGGAGCGUAGGCGGACAUUUAAGUCAGGGGUGAAAUCCCGGGGCUCAACCUCGGAAUUGCCUUUGAUACUGGGUGUCUUGAGUAUGAGAGAGGUGUGUGGAACUCCGAGUGUAGAGGUGAAAUUCGUAGAUAUUCGGAAGAACACCAGUGGCGAAGGCGACACACUGGCUCAUUACUGACGCUGAGGCUCGAAAGCGUGGGGAGCAAACAGGAUUAGAAACCCCGGUAGUCCCAUGAU
rnacentral:rRNA from 1 species